AAUCCCGUGAACCAUCGAGUCUUUGAACGCAAGUUGCGCCCGAGGCCCUCGGGCCGAGGGCACGCCUGCCUGGGCGUCACGCAUCGCGUCGCGCCCCUUGGGUGCGGAGACUGGCCUCCCGUGCGCCCCCGUCGCGCGGCCGGCCG
rnacentral:rRNA from 1 species